rnacentral:rRNA from 1 species
AGCGAAACGGGAAGAGCCCAAACCAACAAGCUUGCUUGUUGGGGUUGUAGGACACUCUAUACGGAGUUACAAAGGACGACAUUAGACGAAUCAUCUGGAAAGAUGAAUCAAAGAAGGUAAUAAUCCUGUAGUCGAAAAUGUUGUCUCUCUUGAGUGGAUCCUGAGUACGACGGAGCACGUGAAAUUCCGUCGGAAUCUGGGAGGACCAUCUCCUAAGGCUAAAUACUCUCUAGUGACCGAUAGUGAACCAGUACCGUGAGGGAAAGGUGAAAAGCACCCCGGAAGGGGAGUGAAAUAGAACCUGAAACCGUGUGCUUACAAGUAGUCAGAGCCCGUUAAUGGGUGAUGGCGUGCCUUUUGUAGAAUGAACCGGCGAGUUACGAUUUGAUGCAAGGUUAAGCAGUAAAUGUGGAGCCGUAGCGAAAGCGAGUCUGAAUAGGGCGUUUAGUAUUUGGUCGUAGACCCGAAACCAGGUGAUCUACCCUUGGUCAGGUUGAAGUUCAGGUAACACUGAAUGGAGGACCGAACCGACUUACGUUGAAAAGUGAGCGGAUGAACUGAGGGUAGCGGAGAAAUUCCAAUCGAACCUGGAGAUAGCUGGUUCUCUCCGAAAUAGCUUUAGGGCUAGCCUCAAGUGAUGAUUAUUGGAGGUAGAGCACUGUUUGGACGAGGGGCCCCUCUCGGGUUACCGAAUUCAGACAAACUCCGAAUGCCAAUUAAUUUAACUUGGGAGUCAGAACAUGGGUGAUAAGG